rnacentral:rRNA from 1 species
AGGCCUAACACAUGCAAGUCGAACGGCAGCACAGAGGAGCUUGCUCCUUGGGUGGCGAGUGGCGGACGGGUGAGGAAUACAUCGGAAUCUACUCUGUCGUGGGGGAUAACGUAGGGAAACUUACGCUAAUACCGCAUACGACCUACGGGUGAAAGCAGGGGAUCUUCGGACCUUGCGCGAUUGAAUGAGCCGAUGUCGGAUUAGCUAGUUGGCGGGGUAAAGGCCCACCAAGGCGACGAUCCGUAGCUGGUCUGAGAGGAUGAUCAGCCACACUGGAACUGAGACACGGUCCAGACUCCUACGGGAGGCAGCAGUGGGGAAUAUUGGACAAUGGGCGCAAGCCUGAUCCAGCCAUACCGCGUGGGUGAAGAAGGCCUUCGGGUUGUAAAGCCCUUUUGUUGGGAAAGAAAUCCAACUGGUUAAUACCCGGUUGGGAUGACGGUACCCAAAGAAUAAGCACCGGCUAACUUCGUGCCAGCAGCCGCGGUAAUACGAAGGGUGCAAGCGUUACUCGGAAUUACUGGGCGUAAAGCGUGCGUA